UACGAGGGGGGCAAGCGUUGUUCGGAAUUAUUGGGCGUAAAGGGCGCGUAGGCGGUGCGGUAAGUCUGAUGUGAAAUCUCCGGGCUCAACUCGGAGUCUGCAUCAGAAACUGCCGUGCUCGAGUGUGGGAGAGGUGAGUGGAAUUCCCGGUGUAGCGGUGAAAUGCGUAGAUAUCGGAAGGAACACCUGUGGCGAAAGCGGCUCACUGGACCAUUACUGACGCUGAGGCACGAAAGCUAGGGGAGCAAACAGG
rnacentral:rRNA from 1 species